CUCAAUUCGUUUCAAUCUCUUCUCUUCUCUCUCACUCCCUACCGAUCUGUCCCAAUCUCGUCGAUUCUGUCCAUCCUCUCUCGCGAGCCCUACGCCGUCUCAACAAAAAUGAACAACAUCUGGACGACGCCGUCUCUAAACCAGAGAUCCGUCUUCUCUCUUUGACUUCCCCCGCUUCUUCCAUGGCUGAAACCCUCCAAAAUCCUAACCCUAACAUCUCUGCCUAUUACCAGACUAGGGCCGCUCACCACACGUCAUCACCAGCGACUGGCUUGCCCAGGCCCAGGUGGCCGUCGGCAAUAAAACUAAUGAAGGCAGAGAGCAGGACUAAGAGAUAUCGGACCAAAAGGCAGAUAGAGCUAGAGAACGACAGAGAGAGAGUGUGAGCGACGAGCGAUCGAUUCCAUCAGGCAGCCAUUCUAGGGUUUUCUUCAACAAAUCUCUGGCUUAAAUCUUCAUUGGUACAAAGGUAUGUAUGAUUAUUAAGGGUAUUUGUGCGAUUGAUUGUGAUGGGUACGUUUGUUUGUUUAAUUCUAGGUUUUGAAAUUCCAUAACUCUCUCUCUCGUUCUCCCUCCCUCUGUCUCUAGUAUUUUGGAUUUGGGGAUUUUCACAAGCAGUUAGUAUGUUUCUCUCUUGUUAGUGAUGGAGUUCAGUUCCAAGUUUAAGGUGUUGAUUUCUCAAGAUGAUUUCCCUCAAUGGUUGACUGGUUGAGUUUGUGUUUUAUAAACUUCUCAUUUUAGUAUGAUAGUGUUAUAUUUUAUCCUAAUUAGAAAUCAUAUGUACCAUUGUAGUUCGCUAGCGGGGAAAAGGUAAUUUUUAAGUUUGCAUAUGAAUCGAGGUAUGUUUAAUUUGGUUUACCUGUGAGCUUGAAUUCCUACUUUAGUAGUUUUAUUAGGCUUCCAUUAGUUAUGGUAGCAUCUUAUAAUACUCUUUGGUGAAUUACAGGCAUGGAAAAUGAAGGGAAGAGUAAGUCUUAGGAGUUUGUACCAGGCAAGGAUAGUAAUAGUUAUUAGCUUGUCUCCAAUGUCAGUGUGAGGUAACUUCAGUUCAAGCAAAGAUAAUAUUGAUUGUUUGACUGAGAUGAUACACACCCGAAUAAAGAAAAUCAAUGGUGACAUUUCUGAGAUUUCCCCUAUUGGAACUAAGCAGAGGACUGCUAAGAUCUGAAUUUAAUCUCAUAGUUCUGCUUAAAAUGUAGUCUUUGAAAGGCUUUGGUGGAGCAUAACUUAUUAUCAAAUAAAAAAAUAGUAGUGGGCAUAAUGUGUCAUGAUCCAUAAAGUAGUGAUCAUCUCCUUGUAAACUGCAAUACACUUUGUUAUAUUGAUACCUGCUCCUAACGUUGAUGUGCCCUUUUAAUGUUUGAAUAUUGCCAAUUUGUCCAAGUAUUUUGCCGUUGUAUACAGAUAACUUCCCCUAGUAAUUCACAUCCUUGCAGCUGCUUCUGAAGGGUUGUGUGCUUCUGUUAGUUGGUUGCAUAUAUUUGGGUUCAUUAGAUGAAGGAUUGCUUUUAAGAUUAACAUUUCAUACAUCACAUAAACAUUGUUCAGCUAAUUAGACCUGUCUUUCCUCUCUGUUAUAGCGUUAUCGAUACAUUGAGGCAUAUACAAGUAUACAUAUAAUAGGAUCUGGAGGGACAGAUUUUACAUGAUGGGUUUAUCUAACAAAGAUAUAGUAGCACUAUCAGGAGGACACACACUGGUAAGUUGCAUCUACAAAAUUGUUUUUGACUCAUACUCUUGUAUAUUUUGCUUCUGGGACAAACUCAAAGCUCUUUCACUCUGAAAUCAUAUUCAUGCAGUUAGCCACUCUUUUGGUGUUUUGUGUGAUAGGGGCCGAGGGGGACGAGGAACUGGGCCAGGCACACUUUUGCACAAGUGCUACAACCAAUUCUUCAAGAACUCACAGAAACUUUGGCUGAAAAGCAUGUUAUCAUUAUCCAAAACAUCAAGAUAAUAAACGGAUCUAAACUAAAAAAAGGUAAUUAAUGGUUGUUGUUUUCCCUUUUCAGGAAAGCCCUUGGGGUUUCAUUAGUAAAAUGUUUUUUAGUUUCUUCUGGCUAUAUAUGUUGAACUGCCUUCAUUGGGUUUUUUGUAUUGGUUCAUCCCGCUCGGUCAAUCAUGAGUUUUCAUUACUAGAAUUCAAGAAUACUUUUGCUGCUAGGGUGAUUUAGAUAUGCAAAACAUGGGGGUUCUCUUAGAAAUUAUGGAAGCUUUUGAUAUGCUAACUGCGAUGAGGUCAAGAGGUUUUACUUUUGUAAUUCAUAUACAUUAAUUUAAUUUUCUAAUUCCUCUGCUCUAGAUUUGUUACCUAUACGUUCCCUGAAUUUCUUUCAUCUUAAAAAUGGUUGUAUGUGUUUGUCUAUACUAUAUUCAAUAUAGAGAUUAAGUUUGUGAUAGUUUUGUCUAUUACCAGCGACUAACAGUCUUAGGAAGUAAUGCCAUACAUAUAGAUGCUAGAUAGGUGGACCUUGAGCAAAAGUUUGUAACCAAAAUCAAAACAGUUAUCGAGGGGACUUGCAUUUCCUUCUGAACAGUGUAUGUCCUGCAAGAUUCUGGCAUUGCUUUGUUUGAUACAAUUAUAGACUAAUAGUUAAAACUUAAAACUAAAACUACAACUGCAGAAGAUUUGAAGGUUGUACAUCAUUUUAGUCAGUAAAGUCUAUACUUCUUCAGCUACUCCUUUGCCUGUAUUUUGCUAUAAUAAGCCAAAAAAUUAAAGAAUUAUACAAAAAAUUUACGGCUGCAUGACGAUUACUCUUGUACUUUUAGAGGGAUUACUUUGGAAACUUGUAUAACAGUAUGGCUAUUUUCCUGGUGUAAAGUUAAUACAUUGAUUCUUUUCCAUAUUAAAAGCAUAACAAUAUGGCUAUUUUUUUGGUAUAACAGUAUGGCUUAGUGCAGUGCAAUAAGUGCUCAUAAUGGAUUUGUUACAGCAAACGAUGAAAAAAAUCUCAAAAUGGGUUUGUAACAGCAAACGAUGAGAAAAUGUCAAAAUCGCUGAAGAACUUCUUCACCAUUCGCGAGGUAAACCGAAAAAUUGUCUAAUUGUUUUUUCACAUAAUUGUUGAAGCAUUGUCUGCAAUCAUGCCUUUUAGAACCUUGUCCCGCUAGUUUAUCUGACAUUCCUAAAUUAGAACCUUGGUAAAAUUCCUAAAUUAGAACCUUGUGGCUCUUGUGUGACUGAGACUGGUAAAAUUCUUUCAGGAGAAUGCAGCUGCAGCAGCAUAGAAGGCUUGACUUAUUGAUUUUAACAACAUAGAAGUUGCAAUGUUGCUGAAUAAUGUGAAGUUGGUAUCUCGAGCCCGUUCCCAGGGUAAAGAUCUAUUCAAUAUAGUAGUAAUUAUAUUGAAAAGUGAAUUUGAGAUGUAUGGAUAGUUUGGCAUUAUUGAGAUGUAAACGUAUUGUAUGGUAUUAAUAUUCUUUGUAAUUGGCAUUAAAAAGAAUUAUUGGGAUGUAAACGUAUUGUAUGGUAUUAAUAUUCUUUGUAAUUUUAGUUAUAUAUCAGGCAUUAGCAUAUUGCAGGUGCAUUGGUAAUAUAGGUGAACCACCAUAUUUAUUUAUUUUUUAAUCUACAACAUUUUAAAAACGUUGUGUGAAAGUGUUUAAACGUUG
rnacentral:lncRNA from 1 species